rnacentral:lncRNA from 1 species
UGAGUUGAUCACACUAGCUGCAGGGAAAUGCCAUGAAGAAAUUUCUCUCUUCCCAGAGCCACGAAGCUGACACGGAGUGAACAGGCCCUUCUGUCACUGGGACUGCAUGGGAGAGUUACAGGACGUGGCCUCUCCUCAUCCAGGUGUGGUGGAAGAGGGCAAAGCCUGAGGCAGGAUGGAUGCAGUUGCCCACCUUCAAGCAUCUCGGGAACCUCUGCUGAGCAGAAUGAAUGUCUGGAGUACAAGUGAUAAGACAGGUAUGAUCUCAGCAUCCAUGAAGCUUAGAUUCCAGGGAAUCUAAAUAAUGGCUGGUGAGUAUACAUAAAAUAUUACACUGUUGGAGGCUGAAAGGUAGAAGAAAAUAUCCUCUUUGCAUAAGCCUAUGUUGUUUGGCUUGUUCAAAUGUACGUGUAUUACUUUAUAAUUCUUUUUUUUGUUUUUUUUUGAGGCAGGGUAUCUCCCUUUGUAGUUCAGGCUGACCUUGAACUCACUGUGUAGCCUAGGCUGGCCUCAAAUUCUCAGUGAUCCUCCUGCCUCAGCCUCCCAAGUGCUGGGAUUACAGGCUUGCACCAUCUCACCCAGCAAAUAAUUUCAUUAUAAAGAAAAUAUAAAGCAGCAAAGUUUUAAAAGACAAGUUAUAUGUGUUUAUCAUAAAGAAAAUUAGAAGAUACACUUAUGUGAAUAGAAAAUUUACCUGUCAUUCUAUCUUUCUUGUUCAAGUUUUGUUUGUUUGUUUUUCCAUACCAGAGACUGAACUCAGGACUUUGCACUUGCCAGGCAGGUGCGGUGCCACUGAGCUACAUCCCUGUUUUUUGAGAUAGGGUCUCACUAUGUAGCCCAAGGUGGCCUCAAACUCGUGGCAAUCCUCCUGCCUCAGCCUUCUUAAGUGCUAAGCCACCAUGCCUGGCUCUUGCAAAGCUUUUUUUUUUUUUUUUUGG